rnacentral:rRNA from 1 species
GACGAACGCUGGCGGCGUGCUUAACACAUGCAAGUCGAACGGAAAGGCCCUACUUUUGUGGGGUGCUCGAAUGGCGAACGGGUGAGUAACACGUGAGUAACCUGCCCUUGACUUUGGGAUAACUUCAGGAAACUGGGGCUAAUACCGGAUAGGAGCUCCUGCUGCAUGGUGGGGGUUGGAAAGUUUCGGCGGUUGGGGAUGGACUCGCGGCUUAUCAGCUUGUUGGUGGGGUAGUGGCUUACCAAGGCUUUGACGGGUAGCCGGCCUGAGAGGGUGACCGGCCACAUUGGGACUGAGAUACGGCCCAGACUCCUACGGGAGGCAGCAGUGGGGAAUAUUGCACAAUGGGCGGAAGCCUGAUGCAGCAACGCCGCGUGCGGGAUGACGGCCUUCGGGUUGUAAACCGCUUUCGCCUGUGACGAAGCGUGAGUGACGGUAAUGGGUAAAGAAGCACCGGCUAACUACGUG